rnacentral:tRNA from 1 species
GAGGGUAUAGCUCAGUGGUAAAGCAUAUGCUUAACAUGCAAGAGGUCCUAGGUUCAAUUCCCAGUACCUCCA